rnacentral:misc_RNA from 1 species
UUGAUGGAAGAUAGGUGUCAGGCUCAUAAGGGGAUCACUCCUAUAAUAAAGAAAAGAAGGUGAGAACUCAUCAUCAAGGCGGUUUUCUUUCUAGUUCUACUGUCGAAGAACUCAAUUGCUUAAUCUAAGAUGUAAGAUUGAAUGUAAAUGCUAGAAGUUUGCUUGUUUCAUACAGCAGUCACCCAAGCAGCUUUUCCAAACCCCUCUAUGUCAAUAUCAUGAGAUGCAGCUCGUGUAAAUCGACUGUUAGAACUCAUCCCUAUGUCUACUCAUGUACUCUAGCUUCGCUAAUGAGAUAGGGGAAAGCGAAUCAAUGAAAUGAGAUGUCAAUGCCCGUGCUUCCUUCCCCCGACAUGGCAUGGGAUAGAGGUUCAACCUAAGACAUGAUAGAAUGUUUCAUUCCACUCCGCUGCAAACCUUGUCAAUUGUUCUGCUCUCAGAAAAAUGGCUUGAACCGCCUUUCGCUAAUCUAUUGGGGAACCUCAUGCUGGGAGUGCCCUUUCUUGCUUGUCAGCCGUUGGGCUACCACUCCUAUGAUUUUGGGUAAGCCCCUUCUCCCAUUCUUGUUGGCCUUGGCUUGGCACCGGCCGAAAGUCAAUGAGAUGAUUCCGAAGGCUUUCUCCUUCUACUCAAAGGCUUACUUACCCGAUUAGAAAAGAAAUGGGAGACCUUUUUGGUACGCCCUUCUUCUAUAAGUUCCGCUCUUUCAACUCCUAAAGCUUCUGCUUCAUCAAAUCAAAGAAAGGUUUUCGGGGACGAAGGUGAGAAAUCAUACAUGAAUGCUGCUUCCAACCAAGAUGCUGUUCUCCUCGAUGGGGUGCUUUUCGCUCCGGUUGCAUUUCUUUCUCGUACAGGAACCCGGACUUGAACUUCAGGAAUGGCAGUGGAACUGCUUUAUAGGUCGGAACUCGUUCACCUCUUCUUCCAACCAAUGCUUGCCAUGGCCAGUGCUUCCUUGUUCUUAUCUCCAUAGAAAGCGAACCUUCUAAGACCAAUUCAGUUUCAUGCUCCUUAUCCUUACCCAGAG